CACGUAGGGCGCAAGCGUUGUCCGGAAUUAUUGGGCGUAAAGAGCUCGUAGGCGGUCUGUUACGUCUGCUGUGAAAACCCGGGGCUUAACCCUGGGCUUGCAGUGGAUACGGGCAGACUAGAGGCAGGUAGGGGAGAAUGGAAUUCCCGGUGUAGCGGUGAAAUGCGCAGAUAUCGGGAGGAACACCGGUGGCGAAGGCGGUUCUCUGGGCAUUACCUGACGCUGAGGAGCGAAAGUGUGGGGAGCGAACAGGAUUGAGAA
rnacentral:rRNA from 1 species